GGGAGGCCGGGAGGGGUCCCUGGGCGGGGAGUUGCUGCGCAUCUGUUGUGUGUGUGCGUCUGUCUGUCUGUUCAGGUCUGUUUUAGGCUGUGUCUGCCUGUCUCUCUGUCUGGGUCUCUUUCAGGCUGCGUCGGUCUGUCUGUCUGGGUCUGUUUCAGGCUGUGUCUGGGUCUGUUUCAGGCUGUGUCUGUCUGUUUGUCUGGGUCUGUUUCAAUCUGUGUCUGUCUGUCUAGGUCUGUUUCAGGCUGUAUGUGUGUCUGCUCUUUGCUUCUGCUCCUGGCUCUGUGUGUAUUUCCCGG
rnacentral:lncRNA from 1 species